UUCAAGCCAGGACAGAACCCUAGGGUACAUCUACUUGACAAAUUGUAAGUAAACAUUUAACUCAAACAACUGUUACUCUGAACAUCAUAAUGCUGGCUCCUUAUCAUGGCUAAACUGGCUGCCUGGCACCAUUUUAAUACGCUUGAAAGUAGAAGACAAAUGCUGACCCUAGACUAGUGUUUUUCAGGCAGUAAAAAGCAACUCAUUAGUUGGUCCUAAAAUUAAUCUAUUGAAUCUCCAAGAGUCUUCUUAAAAAAAUAAAAUAAAAUAGAAAAUGUUAAGGUAUAUCACAUGAAGUAGGAGCAGACACUGUUAAGUGAAACUGUUUUUCAUAACUUUACAUAACUAUAUGUAAUUUUCCAUGUAAAAUUUAUUUCUCACUGCCAGGUUUGUCAAAAGAAGUUUGAAAGCCACCGCUUUGAAACAAGAUCUGCAGUGACAAAUAUUAACUGCAGUCUACAGAAUUACAGGGCAAAAGCAGGCCUUAUAAAAUUAAUACCUACUCUAGACUUCACAUUCCCAUUCCUCUGAAGACCGGUGCAGAUCUCAGUUGAAAACACUGGGCACAAUGAAGUUAUACUCCUUGAUCCCUCACCCCUCUGCUUUGGACCUACCAAGUUUGUUUUAGGAGACAAGGUUCCUUCUGUCCUUGUCCUCCUUUCUUUCUGAGAUAAAUUAAAAAACAGAAAGAGAGGGAGGAACGAAGGCCAGGAAUACAAAGGUUUCCGUUUUGGAGAUUUUGUUUUGUUCAUUUCCGACUUUCUCUUUUCUUUCUCGUUUUGCUUCCUUUUCUUCCUUUUUUUAGGGAGAGCCCCAAACCAGCCUAUAGGAGCUGGCACAUAAAAGAAUCAUGUCCCUGAACACUUUCAGCAGACUUUCAGAAUAUUUUUUCUUUCUACCUCCCUGGAUGGAUGGCCGGGUUUGAGUAAUUUUCUCUUUCUCCUGGGGUUGGUUGCUAAGAGACACUCUGUUACUUCUCCUUCUCAUAUGACCUGAUUACUGUGAUCAGCAAAGACGGUGUGCAGACAACAAGGGGCUGGUUACAAAAUGGUGGGCUCUCUUAACCCUCUCACAACUGUUAGACCAAGGUUUCCAAAGGGCUUUGUCACAAAGGGCCAAAGCCUUCCCCGUCUUCCUUUAAAACGGUGGCUGUGAGAGAUCAACUGUGUCCAUCAUUAACAGCAGCCAAUACUCACACUGAAAUGCAUUUCAGAAAAGUCCCCAAGCCACAUCCUGUUUAUUCUUAAUAUUAUCCCCCUUCUCCCCCCUCCCACAGGUAAAUGAACAGACCAAAACUUAUUCUGACUUAAUCUUCAGUCUAGAUAAGGACAAGCCUGCAAGAGAGCCCUUUAAAAAAUCAUUUAAGGAAACCCUUAAAUAAUAAAUAGUUCCUUAGCUACAGACCUUGAGCCUCCCCUCUUUUUUCUGCAUUAUACAACCAAAGCAAAGUUCAUGCCUUGUUUAUUUCUAAUCCUACACAGCUCUUGGCAGGAUACUUUAAAUAUCCUAGGUGCUCAAUGGAUGUCUGCUGAAUGAAUAAGGGAAUGAAGGUUCAUAAGCUCUUCUUCCCAUCCUCUGAGGGCCCUAACCACUCCUCCUACCCACACAUUUUAGUUAAAGGAAAAAAGAAAAGAGGAUUACACAUUCCUUUUUAAAGCUUUUGAUGCCCUCAAAACAGAGGAGGUAAAAAAAUAAUAACGAAUGUAAGAAAUGCACCAAGAUUCUAGAUCUUUAUCCAUUCUAUUAUCCAUGGUUUAUAUUUUCCUUAUGGUGGGUAUUUGGAGGAAUUCCUGGGUGAUACAAAUGAUUAAGCACUCAAAUACUAACCCAAAGGUUGAUGGUUCAAAUCCACCUAGAGGCACCUCAGAAGUAAAGCCUGGCGAUCUGCUUCCAAAGGCCACAGCCUUGAAAACCCGAUGGAGCAGUUCUACUUUGCACGCACAGGUUCGCCACGAGUCGUAAUGGACUCAACAGCAACUAGUUUAUGCUACUUGGAAGACUUGGCCAGUCAGCUAGCCAUCUAUUUACUUAUUUAUUUCCCCAUCUGAAUUUGGGAAGAACCUUAUAUUUUGACUCCCUUCUUACGACAAGGCCAACUUCACAUGUAAUCAUCUAUAGCAUAUACCCAAACACACCAUGUCUCUCAGUUCUUCCCAUGACUGAUUCGCAUCUAAACUUUUGUGAUUAAGACUUUUUGCCUUCUUCUUAAGGUUUAAAUUUCUACUAAAAAUGGAGACCCCUCACAGGGAUCACAAAAUAGUGUCCCAGACAGCACUGAAGAAAAAUGUAGGACAAAAUUUUAAUUCACAAAAUAAAGACCAGACUUACUGGUCUCACAGAGACUGGAGAAACCUCAAGAGCAUGGCCCCCGGACACCCUUUUGACUCAGUACUGAAGUCACUACUGAGGUUCACCCUUCAGCCAAAGAUUAGACAGGCCCAUAAAACAAGAGGAGGCUAAAUGGGCACACCAGCCUAAGGGCAAGGAUGAGAAGGCAGGAGGACACAGGAAAGCUGGCAAUGGGGAUCCGAAGGUCAAGAAGGGGAGAGUGUUGACAUGUCAUGGGGUUGGCAACCAAUGUCACAAAACAAUAUGUAUAUUAAUUGUUUACUGAGAAACUAAUUUGCUCUGUAAAACUUCAUCUAACCCAAAACUUCAUCUAAAGUACAAUAAAAAAAAAAGAAAGAAAGAAAUCCUUCUGGAAAGCUCCACCGUGACACAGUAUCAAAGAUGUAAACCUCUGUCUUUUUGAUAGCUAAACAGAUAUGUAGAAGUAGGUAUAAAGAGAAAUAUAGAUAUAUCCAUAUUUCAGUGUGUGUGCAUUUAACCACUAUUUUUUGUUACAUUUUGGGAGUCAACACGCAAAAUACAGCAGAAAGAUUACGGACUUUGGAUUGAGAGGUAUCUGCAUUUGAAUAGGAAGAUCCAAUAUUUACCAGCCUCGAAACCUCGGGUAACACAUUUAUUAUCUCUCCGAGUCUCAAUUUCAUUCAUUGAAAAAUGGAAAUAUUACUGCCAAAUUUCCAACAACUCUGUAAAGAUGAUACAUCACAUACCUGGCAAAUUGUAGGAAUGGGAUUUAAAUGUUAGCUCCCUAGUGAAUGUGGAUUGGCAUUUUGCUAGAAUGUAGGGAGAAGGAUGUUUGAGGGUAUUAUCCUAACAUGGGACAGUGUGGAGAGCGCAGGGGUAGUAGAAAACACUGUGAGGGUGUAGAGAUUCAAGAGCUGAUGCCCCAUUUCACAACCUAACUAAAUUCACAAUACUCCAUGGGAAGAAUUUUACUUCAUGCCUUUUAGGAGUAGCCAGUUUUACGCAAUCUAUGUAGCUGAAUCAUACUUUCAAACAAUUUUAGAGCAGGAAGGAAGUGCAGAGAUAAUAUUGUUCAAUCCCUCUGUUUUACAACCGGGGGAACCAACCCAGAGGGGUUCUGUGAUUUACGGGGCCCAUAAGUACACAGGGAAGUACUCUUUCCAUUUGGCCAUGCUUCUCUCUAGUUUAUAUCUUGUCAUGCUCAGAGGGUGCCUUCUUGAUGGCUGCCAUCUCCUUUUUGGUGUGGUUAAGGUAACAUUUCUUUUAUCCUGGAAGGCUCCAUUGGUUUUUCUCCUCCAACUAUCCAGGCACAAUUCUGAGAUUGUAUUCAGAACCACGCCAAACUUUAUAACGCAACCUAACUCUUAACUAGGAAUCAGGGCUCUUUAUGCUGUCUGGGAAAGAAAUAACAGGUGUUACUAGGGAGGGGACCCUGGUGGCAUAGAGGUUAAGAGCUCAGCUGCUAACCUAAAGGUCAGCAGUUCGAAUCCAUCAGCUGCUCCUUGAAAACCCUAUAGGGCAGUUCUACUCUGUCCUAGAGGGUCGCUAUGAGUCAGAAUCAACUCGAAGGCAAUGGGUUUGGUUUUUUCGUUUGUGUUUACUAGGGUUGGGCUUAUUUUUGAAAACAGAUACUUGAAAGGUGCUUUUACAUUACAUGAUGUUCAGCUCCUAACUACAGGCCUUUCAUCCUGCCCUUCCCAGGGACUUUAGCUGUAUCCUUCUUCCACUUCUAGGCCGUGUCCAACCGAAUACACUACUCUGCUGCCAACAAGCAUCCCGGAAGCUGUUCAGAGAAUGCCAAUUCCUUGGUAGCCACCAAAAUGGGAAGAGGCCCUAAGACAUCUCCUCAACCUUGGGUUGCCACCAUUUUCCAAGAUGAGACACAGUCAUUCUAAAUGAUAACUUCAGUCAAGAACUGACAACAUUUUUACACAGGUUAAUUUUUAUCUGGGCUGUGUUCCACAUAGAGCAAACUGCCUGAGAUAAACUCCUUAGGAAUAAUGGAUUCUCCACUAACAAAACACAAUGCCUCCAAAAAAACCUCUCCUUAGGGGACUAUGGCCGUAGUGUACUGAAAGAAUACAAUUAUUUGGAAGCCAAGAAACCUGAUGGGGGGAUGGGGGGGGAGGGGACUUAUGAAAGAAGAAAAUUCCAGAACAAAUAAAAUUUAUUUACCAAAAAACAUCUAAAUCUGGGAGUAAGAAGGGAUUCAAAGUCAUCGAUGAUUAUAUCAAAGUGUUUUAAAUUUUACUGAACUUUGUCCUGUCUACUGGGCUUUGAAUUAUGUCCCUGCCAUCUCAGGUUGCCACAGAAAGAUUUUUCAGAAGUUUCAGGAGAUAAUCUUGCCAGCAUUCCCUCUUCAGAUGUCUGUGGUUGUUUAAUCACCUGCAUCUAUUAUUCCAGCUGUUUAGACAAACACAGAGAAUAAUAAAUCACAAAGAUCAUAAGUGUGUGCUGACUGCUGUCAUUUCAUCAUCUUAAUUGUAAAGGUUGAGUUUUAAGAGUUUUGUUCACUUUUCAAAUUAAUCCAUAAUUCAGGCAAACUAGAACCAAGCUCGGCUGCUGACCAAAGGUCAGUGGUUCAAACCCACCAGUGGCUCCACGGAAGAAAAGACCUGGUGAUUUGUUCAUGUAAAGAUUACACCCUAGGAAAUCUUACAGGGUAGUUCUACUCUGACUUAAGGGUUUGCGAUGAGUCAGAAUCAACUUGACGGCACACAACAACAAAAGAACCAAGUAAUGGUAGUGCAUAACUAUGACAUCCAAAUAAAAAAUCACUGGCAUAGACAGAGAAGAAGUAGCAUAUUAUUCUAUGUUCUUUGGAAAAAAUAAAUAAGAAUAAAAAUAAAAUAGCUGUAAGACAACUUCAACCCAUGAAGAAAAUAAGCCAGAAAAAGCUGCCAGGAAAAAAAAAAUCAUAUAGGUGGUUCUGAUAAUUUUCUUAAUAAUCUUAGUUCUGCAUUUACUAUUACUCAUUUCGAACAUUUGCUUUUCUAGUUUAUUACUUCAAAACUUAAACUUACUUGGGAUCCAAGAACUCUGACUUAUUCAUUCAACUAUAAUCCUACUUGUCCUAAUGGGCUACUGACUCUAAUCACAAGAAAGGUCUAAAUUCUGUUUCUGAUCUUCCUACUCUCAGGGACCUCUGUCUUCUUUCCCAUUCAUAGUAAAGGAAAAAUUAUUUUUAAAAAUACACACAAAAUUAAUUAAAAAAAAAAAGUCAACUAUAAUGAUAACACAUAGAAUGGUCCUAUAAGCGAGUCAAACUAUUGAAAAUGGUCAAGGUGCUUCGUGGUACUCAAGCCUUUAAGAAAAGGAAUUUUCUUAGAGAAUGUUGCCAUUUUCUGCCUGCAUCUAAUGGCAAUAUGCUUGGUUCUGGUUCUUCAUAAAUGAAGCUUUCCGAGAUAGGCUAGAUGAAAUAAUUAAGGUGUUAGAACCCUUGCCUGCAAGGGGACUGUUCAGGCUUGAAGAAAAGACAAAAACAGGGUGAGAAGCAUGUCAGCACUUUGAAAGAACUGAAGGGCUUAUACAGGGAAGAGGGAUUAGAAUUGUCCUUCACAAUCUGCAAUGGUAGAUCUAGGAUCAAAGGGAGAUUUGGGGAGCAGCAGGCUUGCCCCAAAUGUGAAAUAAUAAUUUUUCAUCUAAAAGUAGCACAGCGACCCUAUAAAUAAAGUGCCCCCCAUUCCUACCAUAUAUUCAACCCAAAAUAAACUUAAGGUUGUUUAAGAGGGCAUGGCUGCACUUGAGGGACUGCUACGAUGUAGGUCUUCUCUUAGGGACUCCAAAGAGCUUGAGAGUUGUUAUUUUGUUAUGUUGUUGUUAUUGAUGCUUGGAUAUAGGACUCACAUCUCUCUUACUGAAUUUCUGUCUAGGUAUUUUAAACUUUAUUCACUCAGCAAACAGGACUAUAUUUUCUAAAUGAAGCUACCAGCUGGAAGGUUGGAGGUUCAAAUCCACCUAGUGGUGCCACGGAAGGAAGGCCUGGUGAUUAUUGUUACAUUUAAGGCUACUGGUUUUUGUCUAUUUAAUUUGAACUCAUCCAUCUUAAUAAAUUUCAUUAUUCUAAGUUAUUCAAUGAAUAAUAAUUGAACAUCUCUGUGCCUUGACCAUAUGUUCAAAUAAACCAAAAACCAAACCUGUUGUGUCAAGUCAAUACCAAAAACAUGGCGACCCCAUGUACUUCAGAGCAGAACUGAACACCACAGGGUUUUCUUGGGUGUAAUAUUACAGGAGCAGGUCGCCAGGCCUUUCUUCUGAGGCACCACUUGGUGGAUUCGAACCACCAAUUUUCCCGUUAGUAGCCAGAGCAAACCAUCUGGGCCACAUAGAGACCCUGGCCAUAUGUUUAAAAAAAAAAAAAGUUGCUGUCAAGUCGAUUCCAUCUCAAAGCGACCCUAUAGGACAGAGUAGAACUGCCCCAAAAGAGUUUCCAAGGAGCGCCUGGUGGAGUUGAACUGCCAACCUUUUGGUCAGCAGGCAAAAGUUCUCAACCACUACGCCACCAGGGUUUCCACAACCAUAUGUUAGGCACUGUGAAUUUAAUGGUGAACAACACAGAGCUCCUGUUCUCAGAUAGUCUAGUUUACAAGGUAAAUUUAAUCAUGCCUCACAAUAGUAUGUAACUCUUCCUUUUGUUAGUAUGUUUGCUUGCUCCUCAUCAUUCUUUUCCACAGGUUCAUAACUCAAAAGCAUGAUGGGAGAAGGUCCAUUUGAUGAGGACAAGAUCAAAAUUGGGGAGGUGUGAUCAGAUAGUUAGUUUUUUGUUUUGUUUUUUUUUCUUUUUUGGAGGGCAGGUGAUGGAAGAAAAUAAUACUCCGAUGUCUGCUUAAAAUGUCAAGUUCUAACUAAACUCCCUGGAUAGAGAUUAUAAACUUAACAGACUAAGAAAUGUGCCAGCAUUUUAUAAAGGCAAAUUUCAAAUCAACAUAGAGACAAACUUUCAGAAACUCAGAGCUGCCCAAAGAUAGAAAGAGCUGUUUCGAUUUCCUGCACUAGAAAUAUUCAAGAAAAGCCUGAAAAACACCUUCUCAGUGACAGUAGGGAUUCAAGCAUCAGAAGGAAGACUGACCUAGCUCAGUAGUUUUAAUCCUUGAGGAGUGUUAAAAAAAAGUUGAUGCCUACCCCAAACCAACGACAUUAGAAUAUCUGGGGGGGGAGGACCAAGUCUUGGUAUUUUUAUGUCUCUUCCCAGGUGAUUCUUACGUACAGUGAGGGUAGAGAACCACUGACAGACACUUAAAGUCCCCUGUAACACAGCACUGGCUAUAUUCUAGAAAGUCUGUAGAUCUUGAGCUCUAAAAAAAAAGAAGAAAAUACAGUCAGGGACACUACCAUAUCUUUUCCUCUUUAGCAAGGUCAUAGAGAAUAAAAGCAUAUGGGUCAAAACACUGGCUGUAAUAAAUGAGUUUGAAUUCUGAGAUGUGCUUGUGAGGGAGAAAGGCUAGUCCUAUAAAUAAUAUAUUGGAUGCAGACUCUUAAGAAAAGGGGACUGAGAGAGAUAGAAAGGGACUCCUCUUCUGAGAUUCCAGAAAACAUUACUUUAACUGGCUCUGUCUGGAAUAGCUAUAUUGAGUAAGGUGGUCCUUUUAGGUUAUCAGGAGUUCUUGCUAAUUUUCUUUUCCUUCCUUCCUUUUUUUUUUUUUUAAAUCAGAAAAGUCCCUACCUAUAACCUCGCCUCUCCCAAAGGUGCAUUUGGGUUAACAAGAUGUCUGCACACUCAUUUCGACUUUGGAAAGACUGGCAGGAGAGACAACCUAGCAGAAUGCCUUGUAUGUAUUAUAUCCAUGAAAAAGCUAUGGUUUGGGGGAACUGAACAUUGUUCUACCAAAAGUAUAAAAUGGAGACGCAGACACCCAGAAUAAGCUCAAAGAUACCCAUUAAACAUUUAGGAUUUCCAAGCACCAUAACAUGCUAACCCUAGAAAACAGACUAUUUUUAGUACUUGAGGUUGAACAUCGAUUUUUUUUUUUCCUCCUACGACAUCUUUUCCGUGCCUGCUCAGUUACUGACGAUUCCUGGCCAAAACGCUGCACGGCAAAAGGGAACCGGAGUAAUAAAGUUGGCACCCCUGGGAAAGGAAGCUCCACUUCUACCCUUCAGUGGCCCAGAGGAAGAGGAAGAUAAAUGGGGAAUAGAAAGCUAUUGUGGUUCACUAAAAUAGGCCACUGCGCUGAGGAAUCAUCAUUCAAAACUGCAAUAAUGGAACCGGAACAAAUACAAUGUUUUAAAUUCACAGAGGAGAGAAAUAAAUAAAAAUGUAGGGAUAAUAGCUAUAGGUGAAGCCAUCGAAAGCAGGCUGCAGUAUAAAGAAUUCAAGUCCAAAAGAGUUAUGCUUGAAUCUCCUCUUGAGGGCUUUCUAACUGUAGGUUAGGGUGUGAGCAACUUCACCUAGCCUCAAACUCCUCAUCCUAGCCUGUCUCUCAGAGGAAAGAUACCAUGCCUAUCGGUCCCCAUCCCUUCUCGGUGUAUCGCACAGGCACUGCCUAGAAGAGGUGUACAAAUAUUUGUUAGGUGAAUAAGCAAGGGAAAAUAUAAAUGAAUGUGCUUAUAAGCCAUAUAUCAUGAUAUGACUGUACAUAAAAAUAUAGAUUACAUUGUGUAUAAACGCUAUUUUCUAAUAUAAUUUAUCAUAUUAUUAUAUUUCUAAUACAAUUAUUAGAAAAACCUCCUCCCCCAAAUACUCAUUUAUCCCUUCAGAAAAUGGCUCCUAAAUUUGAUGAAAGGAAAAUGGAAAACUGGUUUUUAUUUAAGUCGCACCAGCACGAAUGGCCUGAGAGACUGGUGGUCUCCUAAGCAGGGGUUGUUAUCUUUCUUUAUGAGUGUGCUAAGAAUCCUUUUGAGGGUCUGAUGAUGUUACGAGCCCCUUCACUGAAAAAGAUAAACACAUAGACCAAGUUUAAACACAAUUCUAGGAGACUGGCUGAAUCCCAAGUAUGAAUCCCAGAGAUGAAUGGCACCCAAGAUAAAUUCCCUAACUAAAUUAACUUAUUUUUCUGGAACUAUGUUUUUAUGUGGUUAAUCACAUUCCUAAAAUCACUCUGCCUAACUUGAUGAUUCAAAAAAUUAAGGAUUUAAAAAAUUGUUAAAAUCACUAGUUUAUAUAACAUUCACUCUAUAUUGCUAUCCAGCAUCCCUGGGUCACGCAAAUGGUUAAGCACUGAGUUACCAGUUGAAAGGUUGGCAGCUCAAAUCCACCCAGAGGUGCCUCAGAAGAAAUGGCUGGUGAUCUACCUCAAAAAGAUCACAGCCAUCGAAAACCCUACAGUGCAGUGCUCCUCUGAAACACACAGGGUCACCAUGAGUGGGAAUCAGCUCGAUGGCAACUGGCUGGUACAUAGUGUCAUCUGUAACAAUUCAGUAAUAAAAACUCUCCUUCUCAAAGUGAUUCAGUAAAACAGACUCAGUUGUUCUUUGUUUUUCUUUUUCACAUUGACAUAGUUCAAGUAAUGUGGAGCUCUUUCUGAGAAAGGUGUUAUGCAAAUUCAGGAAAGAACAUUAUCAACACAUCACAACCCCAGCAGGGACAAACAGAAGGCACACUAAUCCUAAAACGUUCAUUAGCGUAGCAAACACAUUACCAAAGUACAAAAAGAAUAAAACAAAGGGAAUUUUUGAAAAAUGGCCAGUGUGGGUUCAGUUGGGAUUCAAAACCGAUGGAUUAAAGAAAAAAAAAAAAAAAAAAA